GGUUAAACAUGUUUAUGAGAUCUCAACCCUCCCCCUUUACCUCUAGCCAAUGUAGAAAAGUAAACGCAUAACAAUACGCACAUUAAAAUUCAGUUCAAGAGAAGUCCGAGUCCGAUGUCAGAAGAUGUAACAAAAGAAAAUAAAUAAAAUGACAAUAAUACAUAAAUAACAACAGACUACUAGCAGUUAACUGACAUGCCAGCUCCAGACC
rnacentral:lncRNA from 1 species